rnacentral:lncRNA from 1 species
UUUGUGCUUUCAUCUCUCUACCUGGAGAACUGAAGACACAGCCCUGGGAAGGUCACCAUCUGAGUUCAUGGUGAUGGUAUCUACCAGACAGGGGCUGUUGGGUAGAACCAGGGAAGAGGGGAGAGGACCCCAGGGUUCUGACUGUAUCCAGUCCCUGCAAGACCCUUGCUCUUAAAGGCUCCUUUGCUUCAGCUGGUUUAACAUGGAGCUACCAAGCCAUCCUGCCAGAGCCCCAGCUCACAGCCUUACUCUCUCCCACCAGCCAGCUCCCUUACUCUUCCUUUUCCGAGCGUGUCAUUCUUGCUUUUAGAACCCUCCCUGCCUGUAUCUAUUUACUUAGAUCCCACCCAUCCUUCAUCACAAGUCUCAUUACAUUGAAAAAGUGUCCUCAAACAUCCAGGCCUUCUAGUGAUUUCUUCCUUUCCCAAGCUUCUGCAACAUUAUUGUGUUCACGACUCCUGUGGCAUUCGUAUGGACUAAGCUUGUGGUGUGAGGUCUUUGUUUUGAUAGGUCUUUCUUUUGGCUGAAAGCACCUCAAGGAUAAGUCCCAGAGCUUCAAUUUCAGCAUCUCUAGUGUGGAGAGAGAGAGAGAGCGCAAGUGUGAGACAGAGAGAGAGAGCAAGAGCACAAGUGCAGAAACAUGCCAGUUACAAAGCACUUUCAAACAUCCCUUUUGCUCCGCCCCUUGCUGAGAAGGACGAUAUGCACCUUAUCUCCUUGUUCAAGACAGAAUGUCAGUCUGUGUAACCCCAGGGGUUCUUCCAAGCUGACGAGGCCAGCAAAGUCCAAAGAAAGCUUGGCCCUCAGAUUUUCUAAGUCCUGUGCUCCCUCCACUAUACCAAGGUAGUAGUAAGCAAACGCCACAUUUGUAGGGCCCGUAAUGAAUGUUAUAGGAGCUCAGAGGCAGAUGAUUCUGCGUGUGUGUGUGUGUGUGUGUGUGUGUAUGUGUGUGUGUGAGUAGUUAAUGAAGGCUCCCCGGCGAAGGUAGAAAUCAAGCUGCCUCUCGAAGGGUAGAGUGGAUGUGCAGAGGGUGGCUAGCACUGACAGAUGAGGUGAUUGUGAGCAAUGUGCCUGACCCAUGAGCACGGAGCAAGGCAGGUCCUGGGAAGCAGUGGGAAAUGCCGUGAGGGAGGCAGCAUGGAGCAAGGUUCUGGAUGGCCUUUGUGGGAGCCAUUGGAAUCUCUUCCCUUACAGAACAGGAGUUGGGAGGUGGUUCACUAGUAGGGCAGGCUUCCUCUUGCAAGAUUAUUCCUUGGCCAAGGAAGUGCCGUUACCUUGAAGUGAGGAGCAGCAUUAACAGGCAAAACUGGGGGCUGCCUCUGAGGACAAGGUGGGGUAAGUGGGGGAGUGGCGUUACUUGUGAGCCCUGCAGAUUUCCCCUGUAUCUUUCUUCCAGUAUUGUCCAACCAUGCCCUGCCUUGCAGUUAAGAAACCUGGUGGGGCUGUAAACUUGGCUAAUGUUUUUCAACAGCAUGAGGACUCAGACUCUUCAUUUGGGUUUCCAGCUCUCUUGGCUUUGCUCUCUGAAGGAUGAGAGUCAGCCUGGUUAUAGACGUCUCUAGGUUUCCAUCUUUUUUUUUUUUUUUUGUAAGGUUUUAUUCACCUAUUCAUGAGAGACACAGAGAGAAACAGAGACAGGCAGAGUUGGAGAAGCAGGCUCUCUGCGAGGAGCCUGAUGCAGGACUCAAUCCCAGGACUCCAAGAUCAUGACCUGAACCAAGGGCAGAUGCUCAACCACUGAGCCACCCAGGUGCCCCUCUAGGUUUCUAUCUUUGGCUUGAAUUGAGACUUUAAGGAUUUGAACUUGUUACUCUCUCUUCUAAAUUAUUCACUGCCAUUAAUAGUAGCCACCUAUCUAUGGCCUUGACUUUCUUUACCGAUCACACUUUAGGAUGGCAGGGAUGCAGUCUUCCAGAACUGGGCCUUCAGUGGGUGUGCCAGUCCACGUGUCUUUCAGGGAGCUAAUUCACUGCAUGCCACGGGCUGCUGGGUUCCCAUCUCAUAAUAUUAGCAGGACUUUCACUACUUCCUACCCUCUCUCUCUAAGACAGAUAACCAAUCACAGAUAGUCCCCAGUUCCCUACUUUUCUAGUUGGCAGUAUGCUCUCUUAGCACCAAAUUCCAUAUCAGUUAGGAAUUUUUCAGUGAGAAGUAAUGAAAACUGGGUCUGUUCUAAAGAGAAAGAAAAUGUUUUGAAAGCAUGUUGGGGACUCAUAGGAUCAUGGGAAGUUGGAGGAUUCGAUUUGGAAAAUGGAUAUGAACAAACGCCAAAAUCUGCAGAGCCGAUAAGCAGUAUGAUAACCGUUUGAUCAUUUUGAAGCAUUGCUGGGUGCUGCUGUGUAAGUUCCAUCGUGUUCAUCCCAUAUUCUUAGCACAGCUUGUGCGUGCUACCUAGGUGAGCGUAUCUGAUGGGCUAGCAUCAGGGCCCCACACCUUGGUGGGAGCAGAAGGGACACCUGCUUCUCUAAGUUACUGGGCAAUAAGGCACUCCAACACAAUAUUGGGUCCCCAAAAUGGGAGAAGAAUGGAUAUGCUGCAUUCUGGAGAGCUAAAAAGAAGAAAAGUAGAAUGGGUAGAUUUACAAAUAGGCUCUUGGGGGAGAAAAGAGUGAGCCAGAAUUCCACAUAAAUGUAGUGUUGUAGAUUUAUAAAUUCUGGGAACAUAGCCACACACUGAAUUCCAGAUACACCUUGGCAGCGUGAUGUAUUGGGGAUACUACUAUUUGAAUCUAGCUGGUCUGGCCUUCAAGGAGCCUAGGCUUGUGGGAAAACAAACAAACUCAAGAUUCUCUGUUACAUUCUUGAUGUUCUGAGUCUGAUAGUCAAAGGUCCUUCCUUGAUGAAGACAAUUGAUUGGACAGUUAGAAACAUGGAGAGACCCUUAAAUGUGUCUUUUUGGUCCCCGUUCUCUUCCUAAUGUCUAGAAGGUUUAAAAAGAAGAAAAUAAAAGUAUUAAUUAAUGAUCAUGGAAAGAUGAAAAGCAAUCAAUUUUCUUCAUGGCAAAUGUGGAUGACAGGAAAUGAAAGAGGGAAAAACAAUGUGAAUUAUGUAGAUUUGCAGCCAGCUGACAGAUGUGAGCUAACGGCUUGCCCGUUGA